rfam:Opitutaceae bacterium TAV5, complete genome.
UUUCGGGGCCAGGUCGCCGCUCCGAUGUUCUUUGCAGCAUGGGAGAGGAAAGUCCGGACACCGCAGGGCAGGACGCCGCACGAGCUGUUGUCGCAAGGCAGGCAAGUGCGGGCGGCGCGCGUCAAGGCGCGACCGACGGAAAGUGUCACAGAAAACAAACCGCCUCCGCAGGCAACUGCGCGGGGCAAGGGUGAAAAGGUGGGGCAAGAGCCCACCGCGUCGUCAGCAAUGACGGCGGCACGAAAAACCCCGUCCGGUGCAAGGCAAAAUAGGUGACCGGGUGGCCCGCCCUCAGGUCACGGGUAUGCCGCAUCGGGUCUCCGGACCCGGGGCGGGCGCAAGCCCGUCAGAGAAAUGACGACCGCCCGCCGUCGCGAGACGGCGGCGCACAAAAUCCGGCUUACGGCCCCGAAACCAG